GGAUUCCGUGGCGAGACAGGACCAAGUGGACCCCCGGGACCUGUUGGUAUAAGAGGACCAACUGGGCCUUCAGGACCUCCUGGACCACCAGGGCUACCAGCUGCCCCAGGUUCAAUAACAGCUACUCUUAAUGGCCUCAAAGGGCCAUACAUGGUGCCCACCAUAAUCUCUGCAGGAUCUAUCAUUCCUUCUCCUAUUGGAUUGCAAGGACGUCAGGGUCAAAGAGGAUUAAUUG